rnacentral:rRNA from 1 species
CAGUAGCCACGGUAAUACGGAGGAUCCAAGCGUUAUCCGGAAUCAUUGGGUUUAAAGGGUCCGUAGGCGGUUUAGUAAGUCAGUGGUGAAAGCCCAUCGCUCAACGGUGGAACGGCCAUUGAUACUGCUGAACUUGAAUUAUUAGGAAGUAACUAGAAUAUGUAGUGUAGCGGUGAAAUGCUUAGAGAUUACAUGGAAUACCAAUUGCGAAGGCAGGUUACUACUAAUUGAUUGACGCUGAUGGACGAAAGCGUGGGGGGCGAACAGGAUUAGAUACCCCUGUAGUCCCUGUCUCUUAUAC